AUAGCUGGUUCUCCCCGAAAGCUAUUUAGGUAGCGCCUCGUGAAUUCAUCUCCGGGGGUAGAGCACUGUUUCGGCUAGGGGGCCAUCCCGGCUUACCAACCCGAUGCAAACUGCGAAUACCGGAGAAUGUUAUCACGGGAGACACACGGCGGGUGCUAACGUCCGUCGUGAAGAGGGAAACAACCCAGACCGCCAGCUAAGGUCCCAAAGUCAUGGUUAAGUGGGAAACGAUGUGGGAAGGCCCAGACAGCCAGGAUGUUGGCUUAGAAGCAGCCAUCAUUUAAAGAAAGCGUAAUAGCUCACUGGUCGAGUCGGCCUGCGCGGAAGAUGUAACGGGGCUAAACCAUGCACCGAAGCUGCGGCAGCGAACGUAUCACCCAAGACAACUUUACGGAGUUGACGAUUGACGGAGCGAAGCGACGUCAAAGCGUUCAUUAAAGUCGAGUUGGCUUAGGGAUACGUUCGUUGGGUAGGGGAGCGUUCUGUAAGCCUGUGAAGGUGUGUCGUGAGGCAUGCUGGAGGUAUCAGAAGUGCGAAUGCUGACAUAAGUAACGAUAAAGCGGGUGAAAAGCCCGCUCGCCGGAAGACCAAGGGUUCCUGUCCAACGUUAAUCGGGGCAGGGUGAGUCGACCCCUAAGGCGAGGCCGAAAGGCGUAGUCGAUGGGAAACGGGUUAAUAUUCCCGUACUUGGUGUUACUGCGAAGGGGGGACGGAGAAGGCUAUGUUGGCCGGGCGACGGUUGUCCCGGUUUAAGCGUGUAGGUGUGUGUUCCAGGUAAAUCCGGUUCACUUUAACACUGAGGCGUGACGACGAGGCACUACGGUGCUGAAGCAACAAAUGCCCUGCUUCCAGGAAAAGCCUCUAAGCAUCAGGUAACACGAAAUCGUACCCCAAACCGACACAGGUGGUCAGGUAGAGAAUACCAAGGCGCUUGAGAGAACUCGGGUGAAGGAACUAGGCAAAAUGGUGCCGUAACUUCGGGAGAAGGCACGCUGACACGUAGGUGAAGUGAUUUACUCAUGGAGCUGAAGUCAGUCGAAGAUACCAGCUGGCUGCAACUGUUUAUUAAAAACACAGCACUGUGCAAACACGAAAGUGGACGUAUACGGUGUGACGCCUGCCCGGUGCCGGAAGGUUAAUUGAUGGGGUCAGCGCAAGCGAAGCUCCUGAUCGAAGCCCCGGUAAACGGCGGCCGUAACUAUAACGGUCCUAAGGUAGCGAAAUUCCUUGUCGGGUAAGUUCCGACCUGCACGAAUGGCGUAAUGAUGGCCAGGCUGUCUCCACCCGAGACUCAGUGAAAUUGAACUCGCUGUGAAGAUGCAGUGUACCCGCGGCAAGACGGAAAGACCCCGUGAACCUUUACUAUAGCUUGACACUGAACAUUGAGCCUUGAUGUGUAGGAUAGGUGGGAGGCUUUGAAGUGUGGACGCCAGUCUGCAUGGAGCCGACCUUGAAAUACCACCCUUUAAUGUUUGAUGUUCUAACGUGGACCCGUAAUCCGGGUUGCGGACAGUGUCUGGUGGGUAGUUUGACUGGGGCGGUCUCCUCCUAAAGAGUAACGGAGGAGCACGAAGGUUGGCUAAUCCUGGUCGGACAUCAGGAGGUUAGUGCAAUGGCAUAAGCCAGCUUGACUGCGAGCGUGACGGCGCGAGCAGGUGCGAAAGCAGGUCAUAGUGAUCCGGUGGUUCUGAAUGGAAGGGCCAUCGCUCAACGGAUAAAAGGUACUCCGGGGAUAACAGGCUGAUACCGCCCAAGAGUUCAUAUCGACGGCGGUGUUUGGCACCUCGAUGUCGGCUCAUCACAUCCUGGGGCUGAAGUAGGUCCCAAGGGUAUGGCUGUUCGCCAUUUAAAGUGGUACGCGAGCUGGGUUUAGAACGUCGUGAGACAGUUCGGUCCCUAUCUGCCGUGGGCGCUGGAGAACUGAGGGGGGCUGCUCCUAGUACGAGAGGACCGGAGUGGACGCAUCACUGGUGUUCGGGUUGUCAUGCCAAUGGCACUGCCCGGUAGCUAAAUGCGGAAGAGAUAAGUGCUGAAAGCAUCUAAGCACGAAACUUGCCCCGAGAUGAGUUCUCCCUGAGACUUAGAGUCUCCUGAAGGAACGUUGAAGACG
rnacentral:rRNA from 1 species